UGGGGAAUAUUGCGCAAUGGGCGAAAGCCUGACCCAGCAACGCCGCGUGAAGGAUGAAGUAUUUCGGUAUGUAAACUUCGAAAGAAUAGGAAGAAUAAAUGACGGUACUAUUUAUAAGGUCCGGCUAACUACGUGCCAGCAGCCGCGGUAAUACGUAGGGACCAAGCGUUGUUCGGAUUUACUGGGCGUAAAGGGCGCGUAGGCGGCAUGACAAGUCACUUGUGAAAUCUCUGGGCUUAACCCAGAACGGCCAAGUGAUACUGUCGCGCUAGAGUGCAGAAGGGGCAAUCGGAAUUCUUGGUGUAGCGGUGAAAUGCGUAGAUAUCAAGAGGAACACCUGAGGUGAAGACGGGUUGCUGGGCUGACACUGACGCUGAGGCGCGAAAGCCAGGGGAGCAAACGGGAUUAGAUACCCAUGUAGUCCCUGAGCGGGCUGGCAAGGCGCAU
rnacentral:rRNA from 1 species